rnacentral:rRNA from 1 species
UACAGAGGUCUCAAGCGUUGUUCGGAUUCAUUGGGCGUAAAGGGUGCGUAGGCGGCGCGGUAAGUCGGGUGUGAAAUCUCGGAGCUUAACUCCGAAACUGCAUUCGAUACUGCCGUGCUUGAGGACUGGAGAGGAGACUGGAAUUUACGGUGUAGCGGUGAAAUGCGUAGAUAUCGUAAGGAAGACCAGUGGCGAAGGCGGGUCUCUGGGCCUUACCUGACGCUGAGGAGCGAAAGCGUGGGUAGCGAACAGG